rnacentral:rRNA from 1 species
GGGUGAGUAACACGUGGGUAACCUGCCCAUAAGACUGGGAUAACUCCGGGAAACCGGGGCUAAUACCGGAUAACAUUUUGAACCGCAUGGUUCGAAAUUGAAAGGCGGCUUCGGCUGUCACUUAUGGAUGGACCCGCGUCGCAUUAGCUAGUUGGUGAGGUAACGGCUCACCAAGGCAACGAUGCGUAGCCGACCUGAGAGGGUGAUCGGCCACACUGGGACUGAGACACGGCCCAGACUCCUACGGGAGGCAGCAGUAGGGAAUCUUCCGCAAUGGACGAAAGUCUGACGGAGCAACGCCGCGUGAGUGAUGAAGGCUUUCGGGUCGUAAAACUCUGUUGUUAGGGAAGAACAAGUGCUAGUUGAAUAAGCUGGCACCUUGACGGUACCUAACCAGAAAGCCACGGCUAACUACGUGCCAGCAGCCGCGGUAAUACGUAGGUGGCAAGCGUUAUCCGGAAUUAUUGGGCGUAAAGCGCGCGCAGGUGGUUUCUUAAGUCUGAUGUGAAAGCCCACGGCUCAACCGUGGAGGGUCAUUGGAAACUGGGAGACUUGAGUGCAGAAGAGGAAAGUGGAAUUCCAUGUGUAGCGGUGAAAUGCGUAGAG